rnacentral:rRNA from 1 species
UACGGGGGGGGCAAGCGUUGUUCGGAAUUACUGGGCGUAAAGGGCGCGUAGGCGGCCUUCUAAGUCGGACGUGAAAUCCCUCGGCUUAACCGAGGAACUGCGUCCGAUACUGAAAGGCUUGAAUCCGGGAGAGGGAUGUGGAAUUCCAGGUGUAGCGGUGAAAUGCGCAGAUAUCGGGAGGAACACCUAUGGCGAAGGCAGCUCGCUGGGAUGUUACUGACGCUGAGACGCGAAAGCGUGGGGAGCAAUCAGG